GGAGACCGAAUUUACCAAAACCUUCAUUGACAGCUGCACCUGGCUAAUUAUUAACCACCAAGCGUCCCCUUGGUGGCAGAAUACUGAGUCAGGAUGCAGUGGAGGGUCGAGCACAGGAUACGGAUAGGAAGGAGAAGGAUAGAAAUGUGGACCCAGGAAGAGUCAACACCAACCCACCAAGGAUGAGGAUGGCAGAGGAUGAGGGGAUGCAGUCAGCAGGGUGUGGGAUGUUAGCAAGCAUUGGCUUGAGGAUAUGGAAAGGGGGUGUAGGAUGUAUCCAACUGGCAGGAUGCAUGUUCAUGCAUCCUGCCAAGACUUCCCAAGAAUGCAAGGAUGGGCCGCCAAUUUGACACCCUCCAUCAGUGUACACUGAUGUAUAUGCAGUGCAGCCCACUAGAUAUUCAUGGUGAUUGAUAGGGGAUUUAAUUAUUGGCUACAUCGAUGUAGCCAUCGAUGUAGCCAUAGAUAUCUAUGAAUUCAUGAAAACUAUCAACAUGCAUAUGUGUCUGGGUCUAGACCUUAGAUCUAAUAAUGCGAGUUCGAACUCGCUAAUCCAUCUAACAGGUCUAAACCUGUUAGAUCUCGCAUUAUUAGUUAUGUCCUAUAGCCUUCAUGGCUUGCUGUACGGUUGCGUUCGGGGUGUCGGAUAGGACAGGGCGAGGCAAACCGGGGCUGCCAAGGGCCUUACACUACUGCAGAGUACUAAUUGCUGCUCUCGGAGCGCCAGGGCGCGUGUGCGCCGAAGCGCGGUCUAGCGCCACACGGCGCGGUCUGAGCGCGCGCAGCGCUGUCCAGCGCGGCCACACCGGCACGGCCGAAAGAACUGACGCACAGCACUAGACAACUAAACGCAGCAUUAAUGACUGCGUCCACUGGUCACCCGCCCCGAGGGCAAACCUGAAGCGUCAGCGACGCACGAACCACACCCUGGCCAGCGGGGCUGGCCAGGCGACAUUCCUAGCGCGCGACGAUACUCUAUAGGCACUUAUUUGCCGUGCGGUAAUCGCUGUACAGCUGCACGUCCGGCGCUCCGAGGGGACUGCCUAAUCACCGGUCUCCAACUGGGCCGAGCCUGCCGCUUAUAAACGAGGGACACUGAGGGCGGGGGGGGGGAAGUGAGAGCAACAAUAAUAAUAAGCUCCAAUAGUGUAGGCAGAAUGCCGGAACUAUGGAGCUGUCAGCUGAAAUAGUAAAUUCGAAUUCUCAGCAAGCCAUACGGCUGCCGUACAUAACCUAGCUUAGAGGCUAUACUCGCUUUGCUCCUGCCGCAUCUAAGCUACAAUUAUGUCCUAUAGCCUUCAUGGCUUGCUGUACGGUGCGUUCGGGGUGNNNNNNNNNNNNNNNNNNNNNNNNNNNNNNNNNNNNNNNNNNNNNNNNNNAGGGCGCAAUUUGACACCCUCCAUCAGUGUACACUGAUGUAUAUGCAGUGCAGCCCACUAGAUAUUCAUGGUGAUUGAUAGGGGAUUUAAUUAUUGGCUACAUCGAUGUAGCCAUCGAUGUAGCCAUAGAUAUCUAUGAAUUCAUGAAAACUAUCAACAUGCAUAUGUGUCUGGGUCUAGACCUUAGAUCUAAUAAUGCGAGUUCGAACUCGCUAAUCCAUCUAACAGGUCUAAACCUGUUAGAUCUCGCAUUAUUAGAUCUAAGGUCUAGACCCAGACACAUGUUGAUAGUUUUCAUGAAAUUUCAUGGUAUGUUCACUGUUUCACAAUCACUGUGAUAUAUUACCUAUCCGGGAACUAUAAGAGCUCCAUCAGGCAUUCAUUACAGAAUGUUUUCAUGGUUGAUGCAUUCUUAAUGCAUACUUAUAUGACAUACUUACAUAAAACCGCUUAAUACCAGUGUAAGAAUGUUUAAGAAUGCACACCCGCCUCCUCCAUGUUCUUCCGUCGUUCUUAUCGUUCUUAAGCAUUCUCCUAAGUUUCUUAACCCCCCUCCGUGUUUGUAGGGACAUCUCUUUUUGUGUUUUCAUGAGUGACCACUGCAUUG
rnacentral:lncRNA from 1 species